CGUGCAGUCUCACGAGCUCACAAUAAAAGCAUUUUUAUAGUUUUAAGAGCUUUUUAAAAUAAAAUAAUGCCGCGAAUGCACACAAUCCACCCAUUAGAACACAACAAGAGCUAAAUUCAGGUAUUUGUGAGCUGUUUGAUUGUGAAAAUUGAAAGACUAUUUGACAGCGCGAGACUGUCUAAGGGCAGAAUAACAUCGAUCUCUCGAGCUCCAGAGGACGCUGAUUCUGGCAAGAACGAACAAAUCAAGAACAAGGUUAUUUCAAAAUACAUAAUAGCUUGGCGAAUAUAAACGAAAACAGUCACGUGAACAUAAACAGUUGAGAAAUAAAUCUGAAGUGUAUCAUGAUACUGGAUUUGAAUAUUAAAGUGACUGCAUUUACCAGCUGCUUUCUGUCUUUAAUUUUAAUCUAUAAAAACAGAAAAUCAUUCGUCUUGGCUGCUUUUUUUGUAUGUAUUCGUGUAUUUAUUAUUAUUAUUAUUAUUUUUUUUUUUUGCUCUAACAAGAAUUAAUCUAUAUUUAAUUAAAUUAAAUUUCUGCAUCUAAACACCUAUAAACCUAAAACAUGCUCUAUUAAACUAUUGUUAGCAAUUUCUUUAUCGUCCAGUUUAACUGGUGUACAUAUUUUAUUUUCAUAAUAAUUUUUUUUUUUUUUUUUUGAUAAUAGACAGUUACAGUGGUCUAUAAUAAAUAUUAACAGGUUUUGUUCAAGCUGCUUAAAAUGUUU
ensembl:lncRNA